rnacentral:rRNA from 1 species
GAUGAACGCUGGCGGCGUGCCUAAUACAUGCAAGUCGAGCGAACAGACGAGGAGCUUGCUCCUCUGACGUUAGCGGCGGACGGGUGAGUAACACGUGGAUAACCUACCUAUAAGACUGGGAUAACUUCGGGAAACCGGAGCUAAUACCGGAUAAUAUAUUGAACCGCAUGGUUCAAUAGUGAAAGACGGUUUUGCUGUCACUUAUAGAUGGAUCCGCGCCGCAUUAGCUAGUUGGUAAGGUAACGGCUUACCAAGGCAACGAUGCGUAGCCGACCUGAGAGGGUGGUAGGCGGCACGAGGCCUGAGAAACUGUCAAGAAGGCUACGGGAGGCAGCAGUACGGAACCGUCGGAAAGAGAAGGAAGUCUGAUCGAGCAACGCCGCGGGAGGGAAGAAGGUUGUCGGAUCGUAAAGAUUGGUCGUCAGAGAAGAACCAGUGUGAGAGGGGAAAGUGAACACGGGGACGGCAGCGUACCAGGAAGGGAAGCCUAACUACGGG